AUUGAACGCUGGCGGCAGGCCUAACACAUGCAAGUCGAGCGGAUGAAGGGAGCUUGCUCCUGGAUUCAGCGGCGGACGGGUGAGUAAUGCCUAUGAAUCUGCCUGGUAGUGUGGGAUAACGUCCGGAAACGGGCGCUAAUACCGCAUACGUCCUGAGGGAGAAAGUGGGGGAUCUUCGGAUCUCACGCUAUCAGAUGAGCCUAGGUCGGAUUAGCUAGUUGGUGGGGUAAAGGCCUACCAAGGCGACGAUCCGUAACUGGUCUGAGAGGAUGAUCAGUCACACUGGAACUGAGACACGGUCCAGACUCCUACGGGAGGCAGAAGUGGGGAAUAUUGGACAAUGGGCGAAAGCCUGAUCCAGCCAUGCCGCGUGUGUGAAGAAGGUCUUCGGAUUGUAAAGCACUUUAAGUUGGGAGGAAGGGCAGUAAGUUAAUACCUUGCUGUUUUGACGUUACCAACAGAAUAAGCACCGGCUAACUUCGUG
rnacentral:rRNA from 1 species